AUCUAUAGCCAUGCCACCCUGAACAUGCCCAAUCCCAUCUGAUCUCAGAAGCUAACCAGGGUCAGGUCUGGUUAGUACUUGGAUGGGAGACCACCUAGGAAGACCAGGUGCUAUAGGUG
rnacentral:rRNA from 1 species